CCUUCAAGGGGAGUAAGUGAGAAGUCCUUGAGUUAUGUCAAUUUCAAUAAAAGUGCGCCGUCAGAUUUUCUUUCCUGGAGUCAAUCAUUUGCUUGGCCUCCUCACCCCUUAGGGAGGUUAUAGUGGCAAGGCCAGCUGACAGACUGAAAGCAUAUGGAACCCGUAUGCAUAUGGAAUAGGACCAAAAGAGUUGAUUUCAGGGGUUUCAGUGUACAUAUUUAUUAGAGAAUAAAAUGGUUUUGAUAAAUUGAGUCGAGUCAGAUGCUGGCUUUAUCUCAUUUUGGACUGUAUAGUAAUACUUUAAUAUCACAUAGCACAUGUAUUCUUUUAAAUGUGUUUGAACAUAUUAUGAAAUGCUAUUAUGGUACUUGUGUAAUAAUUAGAAUAAUAUUUAUCAUUCUCAUUUUGCAAAAGCAAACAAAAAGUAAAAUAAACUAAAAACCAGGCACAUAGAAAGUGAAGAUGUUUCCACAUUGCAGGAUAAGUUGGUAACGUACUGGAUAAGCCAUUUUGAAGAUAAGACUGUCUGUAGAUUUCCCAGAAAAAUAUGAGUUUGUUAAAUAUUUAUCUUUUAUGGUGGUUUUUUUUUUUUUUUAGAGAUUUUAUUUAUUUGAUAGAGAGAGAUCACAAGUAGGCAGAGAGGCAAGCAGAGAGAGAAAGAGGAAGAAGCAGGCUACCUGCCGAGCAGAGAGCCUGAUGCGGGACUCCAUCCCAGAACCCUGAGAUCAUGACCUGACUGGAAGGCAGAGGCUUAACCCACUGAGCCACUCAGGUGCCCCUAUGGAGAACUUAUUUCCAUGGAACCUCCUCAAUAACCUGUCUGAAGGCAUGGCUCUGAGGAAAAUUCUCCAAGGACAUGGAAAAAUCAGUGUUUGGCGGGAUAGAUAAAGGCCGAGGGAGCUACCAAGGCUAUGGUACUUUGUACAAGACUCAGCCAUGGGAACCAGUCUGUUAAGGACUGAAAAAGGACUUGAGAGAGAGAGACAGAAGAAACACAAAGUCUGGGCAAGAUAUGGAACACAUGCCCAUCAUUCAAAUGAUCACAUGAGUAACUUCUUUGUUUACAUGUGAGCUGAACCCAUGUGGAGAAAACCAUUGCCCUCCAAAAUACAAUACCUGGAACUGAAUAUAUUUUAGAAGAUCAAACUUUCUGGCAAAAAUCCUGAAGUAUUCCAGGAGCUUAGAA